UCUUGAACUCAUAGACUGCGAGAUCAUGACCUGAGCUGACGUCAGAUGCUUAACCUACUGAAGCCACCCAGGUACCCCAUGGUAGAUGGGUUUUAAUGCAGGAAGUUUUGGAGGAGCUGAGAAACCAAACAGAAGACAGUGUAGUGUCCAGAGAUUAGGAAAUUAGGAAGGCACUACUGUUCUAGGCCUGGAGGGACAGAGGGAAGAGGCAGCAUUUUGGGUCUCCUAGUGAAAUGUGGAACCAAGACAGGCCUAUCCAGUAUAAUCUGGAGCCAAAGAGGAAAUGCAGCUACUCCAAGAGAAGCCACCUGAGGCAGAGAAACACUGGACCCCUCCUUCCUUCUGCCCUCUGGUCUCCCUGUGGUGCCUCCCACUGGCUGAAUUCAUCUGGAAACUAGAUGAUAAGGGAGCCUGGAGAGAUAGCUUGCAGGGUCGGGACCCAUGUGAUACAAGACCGGAGCACACCCCCAGCCCCCCACUCCCCCCACACAAAAGGCAAGGAAUAGAUCUGAGGGUACGCAGCCCCAGGACAAUAGGGUGUUGACAGUGGGAAAGGAGUAAGCCACAGGCCGCUAGCCCCUGGGUUAGAGCAAGAAGCAAAUGAAGCCUGAGUUAUAUUAGUCCUUCUUUAGAGAGCCCUACAGAUCCCUUAGCAGCAUUUGGGCCAAAGCUGGUAAUUUAUCUGUAGAGUUCAAUACAUGCCCCCAUCAGGCCUGGGCUUUCGCAGAUACAACCAUAAAUUUAUGCAAGAAUGAAACUGGACAGCCGGUCUUGGGACAGUGUGAGGCCUCUCUCGGCUAUGGAGCUGGGUUUUGUGGGAAAAGACUUACAUGGUUGGGGGUUCCAUGGACUGGGUCACCAGCAGCACUGACUGUCCCAGCAGAGUCUGUCCCUUAGAAAUGACCAUUUGGGAAUUCUUCUCCAGAUGCAUUCUCCAUUUUGUCCUUGGUCUUUGCUAUUGGGUCCAUGGGAGCUCUACAGAGACAGAGCUUCAGACUUGGGGGUGUCCUUAGAGAGUAUGGACUCCAGCCCCAGUUGAAGCAGAUCACAAUCCAGCAUCCAAGUUGGUGCUGCCUCAGUUUCCCUCAUCAGUUGACUGCCACAGCUCCCAGUCUGGAGAAGUGAACAUUCCAGACUGGCUGUCCCAGUGAACAUUCCAGACUGGCUGAAGCAAUGUAGAUUUGUGCCUUGUCUUUGUCUCACUCUCACUAUGCAACCUCAAGCCAGCAGAUAGGCUCUGGACCUCCAUCUCCUCAGUAUGAUGAAGUUGCCUUAGGUCCCAGCUAUGGAUUCUUCCAGCUCUGUGUCAAUCCAAUGCAGAAAUGGUAGGAAGAUCUUGGUCAACACCAAUGGUGUCAGUAGCUAUCAAGCAUCGAUGGGCUAAGAAUUUGUCCUGCAUUGUUGAAUUGAGUCUUGAUCCAGGAGACUCUCCUAAGUUGUGGGAUCUUAUCUGCAGCUGCCUGUCAUAGACAGUCCCUCUCCUGCAGGCCACUCUCCGCUUCUGGAUCCAUCAAAGUACCUCGGGAUUUCAGUUUCAAUUGCUUUCUCAUUCUAAAUCCCAUGCUUGCUUUAUUCAGACAUUAUAAAGUCAACACCAUGAGAUGCAAACAAAUUACUGUCAGGCAUCCAGCUUUUGUUCUCCUAAUUCAAGCACGGACAAUCCACAGACUCCUUUACCUCACCUGCUGCGUGAUUCCCAGGUGAAACAAGUGAGGUGUAGAGAGGUUGAAUGACUUGGCCAAGCCACCCGGCUAGUACGCGGUGUGGGGAGAUGCGUACUCAGCUGCUCUGCACCCUGGACAACACUACACUGACUCCCUUUACAGAGACGCUACCUGUUUAAGGCCACCCAAACUCCGUGCAGAAGGCUUGAAAUGAGCGCUCAGUAACAUCUUGGAAGAAACUGCAUUUCCGGGCAACCUCCCAUACUCUACACUCCACAAAUGGCAGGGAGGCACUAUGAAGACUUUGGAUUGUCCUCUCCGAGUGAUUCUCACAGAGGAGGGUAAAGUGUUGCAAUGGUGGGGGGCAAGAGAGUACAAUGCUUCUAUUUUCUGUCCACAGGAGGAACACGUCAGUAUUUCGGAGCUCAGUAUGGACCAUGGUCAAUGUGAGGGGCCCAGGGCUCACCCGAAUGGAGGUACCUGAGGGUGCUGGUGUCCACCGCUCAGGAGAGGUGUCCUGAGGAGUAGAGCCAGAGGCCGAGACGGAAUGGCCCAGUGAAAGCUUGCCUGGGUCAGUACGGGCAGCCUGGCCUGUCCGAGUAGUCAGGCUGGAUCUGUCUGGUGUGUUUAGAUGGGGAGCUCUGAAGGUGGCUACCUGAAAAGGAGUUUGGGGCUCUGAGGUCUGGCGCCAGGAAGCCCACGAUGAACACUCAGCCCCCUGUCCUGGUUCAAGCACAUCUCACUCCAGGGCAGUUGCCAUCAGUUCAACAGGUCCGGAGAAGGCCUGGUCUGAGUUUUGCGGCUGAGCUCCGAAGGGAGUGCAGAGCCCACGCUGGGUCACCCACAGGCCAUUCUCUGCACACAGCUCUGGCUUUCUCGGGAAAUCAGCUAACAGCUUUUUCUUGGCUUUGCUCGGCCUGCUAAUGUAAUAGUGCUUAUUUUCAGAAUCUUCGUGAGGCCGGGGGGAAGCCUCAGCGUUUCAUUGUAAAUCCAUUAUGUCUUCUUUGGUUAGAAAUUAUCCCUGACAAGCAGUCCCACAGCAAAGACAAGUCAGUAUUAUUUUGCGGAAUCAAAAGGGGGAUUGGCCACUUCUUUUAUUAUUUUUUUAUUAUGACUGUCCUCCUUUUGGUUAUGACAUUCGAUGUAUUAUUUAGCUUAAGUGCUUGAUUAAGGAAGAGCUGGUGGGGGGUGGAGAAGGAACUGGAAGGGGCAAUUGCUCAGACUCUGGGCUUCCUGCUCUCCGUCUUGGUAGCUCGGACGGAAAUAAACCGCCAUGACCCUUUGGGGACCCAGACUUGUAUCCUCGGCAAGGAGAUCGCGUUCUGGCUAAGGGACCUUCUGGACGUUUCUGGGUCAGCAGAACCUUGGUGCCUUUCUUUCAUACACCGGAACCCUUGUGUCUUUAUUAAAUAUUAAUUUGCUGUCAAUAAUUAAAUGCUGAUUAUUUGAUCUCUAAUGGGGUCAGGAUUCCCACAGUCCCAUAUUAGUGUAAUAAUGCAAAAGUAAAAAUUGCCUGUCAGAUGGAAAAAAAAAU